rnacentral:ncRNA from 1 species
AUUCGUUCCCAUGGUUCGAUCCUUCUCAGUAAAACGCGGCGUGUUCGAAUGAUGAUCGCUUUUACGCGAGAAAGGGGGACCACCCUCUAAGCCUAAGUAUUCCUCAAUGACCGAUAGCGUACAAGUACCGUGAGGGAAAGGUGAAAAGAACCCCAAUCGGGGAGUGCAAUAGAGAACCUGAGAUCCGAUGCGAACAAUCAGU